CAGUUGGAGCUUGCUCCAUCAGCUUAGCGGCGGACGGGUGAGUAACACGUGGGCAACCUGCCCUGCAGAUCGGGAUAACUCCGGGAAACCGGUGCUAAUACCGAAUAGUUUGCGGCCUCUCAUGAGGCCACACGGAAAGACGGUUUCGGCUGUCACUGCAGGAUGGGCCCGCGGCGCAUUAGCUAGUUGGUGAGGUAACGGCUCACCAAGGCCACGAUGCGUAGCCGACCUGAGAGGGUGAUCGGCCACACUGGGACUGAGACACGGCCCAGACUCCUACGGGAGGCAGCAGUAGGGAAUCUUCCGCAAUGGACGAAAGUCUGACGGAGCAACGCCGCGUGAGUGAAGAAGGUUUUCGGAUCGUAAAACUCUGUUGUGAGGGAAGAACAAGUACCAAGUAACUACUGGUACCUUGACGGUACCUCACCAGAAAGCCACGGCUAACUACGUGCCAGCAGCCGCGGUAAUACGUAGGUGGCAAGCGUUGUCCGGAAUUAUUGGGCGUAAAGCGCGCGCAGGCGGUCCUUUAAGUCUGAUGUGAAAGCCCACGGCUCAACCGUGGAGGGUCAUUGGAAACUGGGGGACUUGAGUGCAGAAGAGGAAAGUGG
rnacentral:rRNA from 1 species